GACGAACGCUGGCGGCGUGCUUAACACAUGCAAGUCGAACGGAAAGGCCCUGCUUUUGUUGGGUGCUCGAGUGGCGAACGGGUGAGUAACACGUGAGUAACCUGCCCUUGACUUUGGGAUAACUUCAGGAAACUGGGGCUAAUACCGGAUAUGAGCUCCUGCUGCAUGUUGGGGGUUGGAAAGUUUCGGCGGUUGGGGAUGGACUCGCGGCUUAUCAGCUUGUUGGUGGGGUAGUGGCUUACCAAGGCUUUGACGGGUAGCCGGCCUGAGAGGGUGAACGGCAACAUUGGGACUGAGAGACGGACCAGAAUCCUACGGGAGGCAGCAGUGGGGAAUAUUGCACAAUGGGCGGAAGCCUGAUGCAGCAACGCCGCGUGCGGGAUGACGGCCUUCGGGUUGUAAACCGAUUUCGCCUGUGACGAAGCGUGAGUGACGGUAAUGGGUAAAGAAGCACCGGCUAACUACGUG
rnacentral:rRNA from 1 species